rnacentral:snRNA from 1 species
GGAUGUGAGGGCGAUCUGGCUGCGACAUCUGUCACCCCAUUGAUCACCAGUGUUGAUUUCGGCUGAUCUGGCUGGCUGGGCGGGUGUCCCCUUCCUCCCUCACCGCUCCAUGUGCGUCCCUCCCGAAGCUGCGCGCUCGGUCGGAGAGGACGACCUUCCCCGAUAGAGGAGGGGACCAUUCUUCGGUCAAGGGUAUACGAGUAGCUGCGCUCCCCUGCUAGAACCUCCAAACAAGCUCUCAAGGAAAUAGGGUGUUUUAUUAGUAGAGAAAAAAAUGAAAGAAAUUUUGUUAUGCCAGUUUCCUGUAUUUUCAG